GGGUAGUAAAUUUAAACCUAAAGAAUUUGGCGGUUCUUAAACUUUCUAGAGGAACCUGUCCUAUAAUCGAUAAUCCACGAUUUAAUUUACCUAGUCUUGUUAUCAGCUUAUAUACCGCCGUUUAGUGAACUGAAUUAAUAGUUUCUCUAAAUCAAUUAGCUAAAUAAAUCAGGUCAAGGUGUAGUUUAUGAUUAGGAAGAGAUGGGUUACAAUAAUAUUUUAUAUGGAUGUUUCUUUUUAAGAGGGAACUGAAGGUGGAUUUAGAAGUAAACUUAAAAAGUUUGAAGUAAGCUCUUGAGAAUGUACAUAU
rnacentral:rRNA from 1 species